rnacentral:rRNA from 1 species
AUCCAGCCAUGCCGCGUGUGUGAAGAAGGCCUUCGGGUUGUAAAGCACUUUCAGCUGUGAGGAAAGGCGAGUGGUUAAUACCCGCUUGCUGUGACGUUAACAGCAGAAGAAGGACCGGCUAACUCCGUGCCAGCAGCCGCGGUAAUACGGAGGGUCCGAGCGUUAAUCGGAAUUACUGGGCGUAAAGCGCGCGUAGGUGGUUCAGUCAGUCAGAUGUGAAAGCCCCGGGCUCAACCUGGGAACUGCACCUGAUACUGCUGAGCUAGAGUACGGUAGAGGGUAGUGGAAUUUCCGGUGUAGCGGUGAAAUGCGUAGAGAUCGGAAGGAACACCAGUGGCGAAGGCGACUACCUGGACCGAUACUGACACUGAGGUGCGAAAGCGUGGGUAGCAAACAGGAUUAGAUACCCUGGUAGUCCACGCCGUAAACGAUGUCAACUAGCCGUUGGGGGACUUGAUC